GGUAAUGGAGGAGUACAUGGAGGAGAGUAUGAUAAUAGCAAAGGAAGUGGAGAAGAAGGGGGUAAUGAUGGUGGAUAUGCUGUCAAAAAUUCUAUCUCAAAGGAGAAUUGAGAAUUCCUCUUUUUCAAGUAAUGAACCCAAUAUCAUAUUAUGUUAACGAGAAAUAAAGAAAUUGGGUGAGAGAAUGUUGUGUUUUAAAUUUAUGUUGAAUUUUCUUUGAAUAAUUCGAAUCAAUAGGUACAAUGAUAAUCAAAUUUGGAUUAUGUUUGUUGUGACAAAUUGACUGUACCCUAUUUUGUUAUAUUUCUCUAUAGAUUUUUUUAUAUAUAUCCAUAUUAAUACGGGUGAUUUUGAACUGAAUCAAAUGACAUAAACAAAGAGAAAAAAAUAUUGUCUAAAAGUUUAUUUGUUAACACCUUAUAAUUCUUAGUAACUUUUUCAAUGAAUGUGUGAUAUUAUAAAAAUAAGUUGUUUCAUGGGAUUCCAAGGAUGGACAAAAGAUGCAUAAAAUACUCUAACUAAUAAAAUGUACACCAUUCCAAACGUGCUAUAUUUUAUGAUUUUCAAAGUUAAACUUUGAAACAAUCUUUUAACACCUUCUAAACACAAAUUAUUUAUCAUACAUGGUGGGCUAAUCAAGUCCAAACUAAUUAAUAGGUCAAACCCAUCAUUCCAAUUGUCUGCUACACGUAACUUAUAAAAAUUUUCAAGAUUUAGUUUGAAUAUUUUAAAUUCAAUGUUUCAAGUUUUUUUAACAAAAUUGAAAAAACUUCACCAUUUUCUUGAGAUUUUCUUAUUAUGAUUACAUCCUUUAAUUUGUUGAAUAAUUAUGUACGAUCUUGUUGCAAGAGAAUAAUAUAUAUAUAUUAUUAUAUUAUAUAUAUACAUACAUUCAUUCAUUUAGGUUUAUGUGGUUCAAAAUCUUUCUACCCUCAAUUAUACUUAAAAAGCAUUGGUUGCACUCUUCUCUUCCAAACCAUGAUAGUUUUUAGGAAAAAAAAGAAACAUGUUGAUGAAAGAGAAUUAGACUACGAUGAUCAUUCUCGUGGAUAUGAAGCGCGUGACAACGGAUAUGGGAGUGGUGGAGGAGUUGGUGGUGGCAGCGAAAAAGGUGGUUAUGGUAAUAGAGAGGUGUUCAUAAAGGAGAAUAUGAUAAUCGGAAAGGAAAUGGGGAAGAAGGAGGUUCUAAUGGUAGAUAUGCACUCAAAAUUAAUUUCAUCUAAUCAAAAGAGAAUUGGAAACUUUUUUUUAAGCAAUGAACCCAAUAUUCAUAUUAAUUGGGCAACAAAAAUAAAGAAAUUGGGUAAGAGACAACGUUGUUUUAUAAAUCUUAUAUGUCAUUAGUUUACUUUUUGGUGAAAGUAAAUAAUUUGGAUUAAGUAUGCAUUUGUAUUAGAACAAAUUGAAUCCAACCAUAUACACAUUAUUUUACUUUUUUAAUAAUAUUUUUUAUUAAAUUAGAUGGUUUUAUUUUAAAAUUAAUUGAUAAUUACGUGAAUAGUAAUAUGUAUAUCUUAUAAACAAUAAUGUUGAUCUCUUCAAUUUUUUAUAUGCAGAAUUAUCAACAUUCUCCACCUAAUGUUCUAGGUUAUUUUUGUAAUCAAAGUGUAACUCUCAGACAAAAACAAAAACGAAAAAACCAAGAAAAUAACUAAAUUUUCAUUUAAAAAGAGAAAAAAGAAUAGCAUAUCAAACAUCCAUCCAAAAUAAGCAUAAUUAAGGGAGAGGGGGCCUAUACGUCAAUUGCUUAGUCUAAACCAAGACUAACAAAUGCCUUGUCCUAUGAUAAAAUAUUUAUAUUUCAAAGAUACAUAUAUUUUCACUACAUCCAAGAUCAAGAGCCAUUGUAUUAUAACAAAAGAUUGUACAAAAGGGGAGUUGGGGAGAAACUUAGAGUCAUAAUGUUCAAAGAGAUCUAAUUAAUACUUGUAAAAUUUUAAGAGCUAAAAUUUUGUAACAGAGAUUGAGAGUGUAAUCGCAACAAAUAAUCAUACUUCAAUGGUUGAUUAAUUUAUCAAGAAAAGUUUUAAAAAAACAUUUAAUGACAGUCAACAUCAACCCUUUCACGUCAUUAAAAGAAAAUUGGAACUUUGCCCACAUUUCUUUAUUAUUUUGCUAUUAAAAAUUAAUUUUGAUUCAAUCAAUUUUUUAGUUAUCAACUACUAUUCUUAAAAAAAUAUAUAUAUAUACAAAAAUUACGAAAAAGAAAUAUUACUUCUCAAACAAGAAUCAUCUUAAAUAAUCAUCCUAUCCAUUUUAAAAAAUAUAUAUAUUUUCAAUAAAUUAAAUAAUAAAAUUAUUGAAAAUAUUUAUAAAUAUAACUAAAAUAAAACUCUAAAAUCGAUGGAGGAUGUAACUUAUGAAAGUCUAUUAGCAUCUAUCAUUAACAUAUUCUAAAAUAUUUUUGUAAAUAUAUUUUGUUUCAUUUUGCUAUACUUAAAAAUAACCUUCCACAAAUUUAAAACUCAAAUUAAUCAAAACCAAUCCCAACAAAUAUUUUGUAUAAUUUAUGCGAUGUGCAUAAAUACGCAUUUUCCCACCAUAUUUGAUAGCAAAUGGCAAAUUAUUUAAUGUUUGUUUGAAGCAAGAAUUAGGCAAAGAAGCAUAUAUCUAUAUAAUAUGUAACUAGAUCUUAUAUUAUAGUGAUGCAAAAUCGUUUCAUAAGGCACUUCAUAUCUCUCUGUCUCAUGGCAUCUUAAGUACACAAAAUGAGAAAAAGGGAAAAAGGGCCCUAAUAUAAUAUGUGUCCUUUAAUUGGUGGAAUUUUAUUUAGCAUUAUUAAUUAAUCAACCGUGUAAAAUAUGGUAGGAAGAAUUAUUCUAAUGAUGAAUGAAAAUUUUAGGUUGGGAGGUCCCAUAUAUGAAGCAUAUGAGAAAUUUUCAAUCUUAAAAGAGUGAAUUAUCAAAUUAAAUUUACAUGAACGAAAUGAUAUAUCAUUUGGUUUGUAUUAAGUUUGUUUAAGUUUAGAUGAUUUACGAAAAUAGGUUUGUUAUGUUUAGGUUGACAAAACGACACUGUAUUUAGAUGAUGGUGUAAAUUUUAACAUGUUAAACAUGUGUUUUAUCUUGGUUUAUUGUGAUCUAAUACAAAUAAAUAUCGUUAUUGAAUUUUAGGUUAUCGUGUAAAGUUGUAAAAUAUUACAAAGUGGUGCAAGUGGGAAAAUGGGAUCAAAAGGAGAGUAUUGAUAUGAUUUCGUUCCAAUUAUAACUUAUUUUUUUAGUUUAAUGAGACAUAGGAAAAAGCCUACACUUUAGUGUUUUGCCUCUUGAACUUCCUUUGAGCUAUAUAUCCAAAAUUAAUAAUGAUUUUUUAGCACGUGUCUCCUCUUUAAUGGCCUCUAAGGUACCACACUAUAGAGAAGAGCUAAUGAAUCCUUGUUUUCUAUAUAAGGAGAUGGAUCCAUGCAUUCUAAGCAUACAUUCCUAUCCAUGGCUAUUCCUAAAGUGUUGUGCAUUGGCUUUCUUCUUUUUGUGGGUUUAGGGUUAGCUUCGGCUGCCCGAACUCUUCUUGAUUAUGAUCCACGUACACGUCGCUAUGAUUACGAUCAUCCUACUCCAAGAGUAGGGUACGACCCAAGUCAUCGUGAUCAAUCCUAUGAUAGUGCAUACAGUGGAAGUUCUAGUAAAGGAUAUGGAGUUGGAGACUCUGCUCUUGGAGGUUCUGGACGAUAUGAAGGUGGUGGAGGACGUGAUUCCGGAUAUGGAGGUCGAAAUGAUGAUCAUGGUGUGGGAUAUGAAGGUCGAAAUGAUGGUCGUGGUGCUGGAUACGGAAGUCGAAAUGAUGAUCGCAGUGCUGGAUAUGGAGGUCGAAAUGAUGAUCGUGGUGCUGGAUAUGGAGGUCGAAAUGAUGAUCGUGGUGCUGGAUAUGGAGGUCGAAAUGAUGAUCACGGUGCUGGAUAUGGAAGUCGAAAUGAUGAUCAUGGUGCUGGAUAUGGAGGUCGAAAUGAUGAUCGUGGGGUUGGAUAUGGUAAUGGUGGUGGAUAUGGAAGUGUAGGAGGACAUGGUGAUGGUUAUGGUAACAAUGGUGGUGGAAGCUAUGGAGAUCGUUAUGGCCCUUCUCUUGGAGGUUCGGGAUAUGGAAGUGGAGGAAAAGGAAGUGGCAAUGGCUAUGAUGAUCAUUCUCGUGGAAAUGGAGCACGUGACAAUAACUAUGGAGAUUCUCACGGACAUGAAGGACGUGACAGUGGAUAUGGAAGUGGUGGAGGAGUUAGCGGAGGCUAUGGCAAUGGAGGAGUUCAUGGAGGGGAGCAUGAUAAUAGCAAAGGAAGUGGAGAAGAAGGGGGUAGUGAUGGUGGAUAUGCUUUCAAAAAUUCCAUCUCAAACAAGAAUUGAGAACUCUCUUUUAAGCAAUGAACCCAAUAUCAUAUUAUGUUAAAGAAAAAUAAGGAAAUUGGGUAAGAAUGAAUAAUGUUGUGUUCUAAAUGUAUGUUGAAUUUACUUCAAAUGAAUGCUAAAUUUGAAUCAAUGAAUUAUGUUUGGAUUAUGUUUGUUGUUACAAAUUGAUUCCACCUUUCUUUUUGUUUUGUUUCUCUAUACAUUUUUCUAUAUAUCCAUAUUAAUAUGGAUUGAUUUUGGACCGAAUCGAAUGACAUAAUAAUCUAUGCCAAAUAAGAGUAAAACCACAUAGCCAAGAAAAUGAUAAGAGUAAAAGGAAAAAUAGUAUGUACAAUGUAAGACAAAUAAUUGUGUCUAGGAGAAGAGGGUGUUACUCAAGCCAAUGCAUUUAACCUCGACAAGACUCAACCUCAAGUUGAGCCUAACAAAAUGUCUAGUUGGGCAUACCCUUGUCAAAAUGCAUCACUUUAAUUAAGACUAAAAUAAACAUAUAGAGAAGGGAGUUUGAGCUUGAUAGGUCGAGACCAAUCCUAGCAGAAUAUUAAACAGAACUUGCCCUUCACAUGCCUCAACCUAAGUGAGUUGAAAAGGUUAUCGUAUCGUACCUCCAAAACUCUAUUCGGACAUAACCUAACUAAUUAACUAGGUUUAUUUAAUUCUACAAAUAAAUCAUUAGAGCUCUACAGAAACAAACUCUAUUCUCACUCAAUUUCUUUGACAUUUUUCAACUCUCUCUAAAAGCCAAAUAGGCACAACCCUAAAUCCUUACAUCUUCAAACCCUGUGUUUUAAUUACUAUGGAUAAAAGAGAACACAAAUCAAAUUUUACUUUCUUAUAUUUAGAUCAUAUUUCUUUUGAAAUUCAAAGUAAUGGAUAACACAAUAUGCUUCCAUUUCUAAUUUAAAUGAAAAUUUCAACAUUCCUAAUUACUGAUUUAUUUACACAAAAUAGCCCAAAGUAAAUAACUAUAAGUGAGUUUUCUUUACUAUUAUUUUGGUGAGUGAAGAUACUAUGAGUUUUUAUAUCACUAAAAUGUGAUAAUUUUUCCAACCAUUAUUGUAUUAGCAAAUGGGAAAUAAAUUAUUUAAUAAUGUAUCUAUAAAGUGGGAAGAAUUAGGGAAACAAAAUGCAUAAUUAAAUAUGUAAAAAAACUAUAGUAAUGCUAUGUCGUUUCAGAAACCAUUUGAAGAGUUAAGGAAAAAAGAGGGGAAAAAAAGCUCUAAUAUAAUAUAUGCUCUUUAGUCCUUUUUCUUAAAAAAAAAUUAAUGCUCUUUAAUUAGUUUGAAAUAGCCAUAUAAAUUAAAUAUCUUCCUAAAAGGAAAGAUGGGUUCUCAAGAAAAAAUAUAUUUCAAUGCUUCUUUUUCUUUUUCUUUUUCUUAAUCCUUGUUGAUGAAGAGAAUUCAGGCUUAAAAAUGGAGAAUUUCAUAUUUUCUAAUAUUUUACACUUUUUUCAACCUCAUAAACAAAUUUUGAUUAAAUGGUUGUAGUAAAGAUACUUUUCUUUUUUUUUCACCAAAAACAGCUUUAUUUUAUUUUAAUCUUCUGUCAUAUUUGUAUCGAGAAAAUUAAAUAAAUACUAUUUUUUUUCAAUAUAUUUAAUUUCGUUUUAAAAUAAAGGGAAAAUCCCUAGAAAUCAUCACUUUUCUCUUCUUCUUUGAAGACCCUCUUCUUUUAUGGUAUAACUUUCAUUAGUUGUUCUUAAUAUGCUUCUUUUAACUUUAACUGUCAAAUAUAUAUAUACACAUACAACGAUAAUUUAUCCUUAAUAUCAGAUAUAAAGUUUUUUUUAUGCAUGGCUCUAAUCCAAAAGACUUCAAAAAAAAAAUUACCAAAAUGUAAAUCGAUGAUGAGAAAUUAAAAAAUUGAUAUGGCUAAUGUUUAAUAAGCUAGAUUGAUUGAUAAGUUACUCAUCCCACAAUUACUUGAUUUUGAGAUGAAACGUCAAGUUAUCUAAUAUUAUAUCGUAACUCGCGAAAACAUAAACGAACAUUCAGAUCAAAAAAAUAAAUAUUGGAGUCCAAUUCAAGAAUGAUGAACCCAAAGAGAGACAUCAUUUAUCAAUGGUGUGUAUACUAGCCAAGGAUCUUAUCAUGCUAGAAUAAUUGAGGGACCUUUUAUGUUUAUAUAUAAGAUGUAUAUGUUUCUUCUCUUAUAUUUUAUAUUGGUUUUAAGAUGUAAAGCUCAUGUUAUCUAAUAUAUGAUGUCGGUUGUUCGAAAAUUCGAUGUAAAAAUAGUAAAUAAUCGAAAGAAGCACGGAUCCCAAAAGGACAUAUCAAGGAAACCUCACACCAUGCAUCUUUAUAAGUCCCUCACACCAUGCAUUCAAAAACUAUAAUUGAGGGACCUCACACCAUGUCAUGCAUCUUUAUAACGUCAAUCAUACAUAUCUAUUAUUAAUUUCCUCUCAUAUGGCUCAUGAUAUACUACGUGUAACAAUUUUUCAUUGCCAAGAAAUUUCCAAAUUGUAAUAGUGGUAAGUUAUGAAAUGAUUUUCUUACAAAUAUCUUCAUAGAUAAAUUAAUAAUAAAACAUCAUGUGUGAACGGCAGAAUCCAAUUGACUGAAAAAUCAUUUUGGAGUAAUAUUAUCGGUUGUGAGCACAAUCCUUUGAUCUAUUUGGUGGGAAAGAAACAGUAGAACCUUUACUUGAGAAGCUAUAAUUCUUACAUUUUUAUUAAUUAUCAUAUUACUUCGUCUUUAUUUUAAAAAUAUUCAUACAAGACAUGAGAGAUUAGCAUAGGCAUUCAAAUAUCAAUACCUUUGAACAAAAAAGCUUUUCCUUGGCCCUAAAAAAGUUGUACAACAAUUAACAAAACACUCCAAUAUUAAGGUUAAUAGGAAGAAUGCCUAAACUUAACUAUAAAAAUUGUUUGGAACUACAAAACUAAGCAAACUAAGGUGGCUAAACUCAACAUGAAAAUAAAGAAGAGUAAUUUAAACUUAGAUAUUUAUUCAUGUCACCUAAACUUUUAAAGUCGUUUUUGAUUGCAUGCUCCUCUAAACUUUAUCAAAUCUUGCGAGAUCAUGUAAGGGGAAAGAUGGAAUCAACUUAGCCUUACUUUAAUUUAAUAUGUUUUAGUACCACAUGUCAACAUAAAAUAAAGAAAUUAGGUUAGAGAGAAGGUUGUGAUCUAAAUCUAAGUACAUUAAUUAAUGUCAAAUUUCAAUCCAUGUUUGAAUGAUAAACAAAUUUGGAGUAAAGAAUAUUACUCAACCAUACAUAAGUAAGACUUCAACUCUAAUUGAAAGGGGCUGACAAGUAUAGUUACUCCUAAACUGUCUACAAAUAUUAAAUAUUAUAUGAAGACAAUAAAGUUAAGGGGAGUUCGAGUCCCCUAGACCUAUACUAAAUCCGUCGGUCAUGGUGAUGGUGCACAACACUCAAUUGUUCAACACAACUAUGAUGAAUUUUUUUGUUUGUUGGGAGAGAAAACACUAAUAUGUUUUAUUUCAUUAAAAUGUGAUAUUUUUGUCCCAUGAUUAUUGUAUAGAGAAAUGGGAAAUUAUAUAUAUAGUGUAAGCUUCAAGUGGGAAUUAGGAAACACAUGCAUAAAUAUAAAGUUACGAUAAUUAUAGUAAUGCAAUGUCGUUUCAGAAGCCCAUUAUUCAUCCUCUCAAUUAUCUCAUGCAUGGUGGCUCUCAUCAAGUUGAGAAAAAGGAAAAAAAAUAGGCCUAAUAAAAUAUAUGUUCUUUGUUUCUUGGUAACCAUUGUAAAUUAAUCGUAAUAUAAAUAUCUUCUAAAAGAGAAAAAAAGAAGACUCUCAAGACAAAUUAUCAUGCUUCGUCAAUCCUCUUUUUUUUUUUUUUUUUUUUCCUCAAUCUUUAAUGAUAGAAGAAAAUUUUAGCUCAAUAAAAUUGAAAUUUUUGUAUUUUAAAAAAUUUAUGAUGUUUUUUAACACGUGUAUAUAUAUAUAAUGAACAAUAUAACAAAAUAUCACAUUAAGUUUUACUAUAUAUUUAUAAAUAUUUUUUUAAUUAAUUUUUUCACUUAAUUUAAAAAUAUUUUUUCUAUAUAAAUAUUAUUAAUAAAGAACAAUUACAUUAGCUUCUCUUUUUACGUAUAACUCUUACUUUGGAUUGAACUUUUAACUCUUGAAAAGAGCAUUAGUGAGCCAAUUAAUUCACUUUGACUACAUAACUUUCUUUAGUUGCUUAAUAUAUUUGUUUUGGUGUUAAACUAUCAUUAUAACAGAACAAUUAGGAUAGUUUUCAUUUUCGUGUAUAACGUUUUUCUAUGGUCGAUAUCUAAGGAAAUAAUCAAAAAAACAAAUGUACUUACAAUAAAUUUCAUUGUGUCAUAAAAUGAAAUUUCCAAAUUAUGUAAGUGUUAAGUUGUAAAAGUUGAUAAUCAAAUUUCAAUGUGAAAUUAUAUAUUUUGGAAAUAUCUGCACCAUAGACAAAAAUUAAUAAACAAACUUCUCAAAAUUAAGUGUGUUAAUUAUAAGAGAAUGCCUAAACUUAACUAUAAAAAAAUAAGUUGGAGCCAAAACUAAUUAGCUAAAAUAUUAAGGUGAAUUUAUCACAAAAAGUACAAACAAGUGAAGUAAGGUGGUGUUGCAUAAAGCCUACUGAUUUUCAACUUUGGCUUUCUAAAUUUGAGCUCCUCACGUUUUCACACAAAAGCUUCUCACAACCUUUGAAUAAGAUCCUCUCAAAAGAACAUCAACUACUGAUGUAUUAAACUAAUAAAGAGCCAGCCUAGUUUACUUGACUACUAGUAACAUCCUCAACAGUGACGUACAUUUAAUUUCACAAACAGUGCGUAAGGAUUAAGGUUAAACAAUCUCUCAAAACAUGCACACACAGUAUUUUUAACAGAGCUAAUUAACCCUAAAAAUAAACAAAACUCAUAAUAUAUAUGGAAGCUGAUCUUGAGCAGAUAGGAAAAAAGAUUAUCAAAAAGAAUAGAAAAACAAAUUAAAUCAGCAGGUUUAAUUUUCCCUACACGGUUCAAUAGAUUAAGAAAAAAAUCUUGAUACAAAAUUCGAAGGAGAAAUAUAGAUUUUGACAGAAAAUGUUACAAAACAAGUUGCUCAAGUUUUGCUUGUAACAAAAUCCGCCAAUCGUAGUACAGUAACACAUAAGCAACUAAAAUGACUGAUCUCAACAAGAAUGGAAACACUAGAUAUGUUACAAGAGAACAUGCAUAAAUACAGUUUGGUCUAAUUAAAAAAACAGUGUCUUAGAUAACACAAGAAGGUAGAAAAAUAGAUGAGAGAGUAAUCAAACUUAGCUGACAAAUAUGGAUAUUAAUGAAUUUCACCUGAACUUUAUAUAGUUUUUCUUUACUCUUCUCUAAAUCUUACCAAAUAUUGCAAGAUCGUGUAAGUGGACAAUGGAAUAAUCGUAAUAAUCAAUUGAAGCCUUACAUAAAAUAUCGAUGUGUUUUAGUACCAAAAUCGAACUUUAGUUAGUACCUAAUAUGACAAAAGGCCUCACUACGUAGUAUUUUGCCUCAUGGACAUCCAUGGAGAAGUUGAUGAACCCACCACUUUUUUUAAACAUAUGACACCCUCUUUACCGUGAAGGACACCAUAGAGAAGUUGAAGAGACCCUCCACCCAUUUCCUAUAUAAAGAGAUCAAUGCAUGCAUUUUCUUGGCAUUCUACUCAUUCUCUAAUUCUCUCCAUGGCUAUCCUUAGAGCACUGUGCCUUGCCUUUCUUCUCUUUGUACGGUUAGGUUUAGCUUCGGCUACUAGAACUCUUCUUGAUUAUGAUCCACGUACACUUCAAUAUGGCUAUGAUCGUCCUAGUCCAAGAGUAGGGUAUGAUCCUGGCCAUGGGGAUGAAUCCUAUGAUAAGGCAUACGGUGGAAGCUCUAGUAGAGGACAUGGAAUUGGAGACUCUGCUCUUGGAGGUUCUGGAUACGAAGGUGGUGGAAGACACGAUUAUGGAUAUGGAGAUCGACAUAAUGAUCGUGGGGUUGGAUAUGGUAAUUAUGGUGGUGGAUAUGGAGGUGUAGGAGGACAUGGUGAUGGUUAUGGUAACAAUGGUGGUGGAAGCUAUGGAGAUCGUUAUGGACCUUCUCUUGGAGGUUCAGGAUAUGGAAGUGGAGGAAAAGGAAGUGGCAAUGGCUAUGACGAUCAUUCUCGUGGAAAUGGUGCACGUGACAAUAGCUAUGGAGAUUCUCAUGGACAUGGAGGACGUGACAGUGGAUAUGGGAGUGGUGGAGGAGUUACUGGUGGCUAUGGUAAUGGAGGAGUGCAUGGAGGAGAGUAUGAUAAUAGCAAAGGAAGUGGAGAAGAAGGAGGUUAUGAUGGUGGAUAUGCUGUUAAGAACUCCAUCUCAAAGGGAAAUUGAGAAACCCUUGGCUUCUUUUUCUUAUUAUACUAUGCCAGCUAAAAUAAAAAUAUGGGGUAAGGGAUCAAGAAUAUUGUUAUCUAAAUCUAUGUUUGAGUUGCU
rnacentral:lncRNA from 1 species